GACGAACGCUGGCGGCGUGCUUAACACAUGCAAGUCGAACGGAAAGGCCCUGCUUGCAGGGUACUCGAGUGGCGAACGGGUGAGUAACACGUGGGUGAUCUGCCCUGCACUUCGGGAUAAGCCUGGGAAACUGGGUCUAAUACCGGAUAGGAGCCAUUUUUAGUGUGAUGGUUGGAAAGUUUUUUCGGUGUAGGAUGAGCUCGCGGCCUAUCAGCUUGUUGGUGGGGUAAUGGCCUACCAAGGCGGCGACGGGUAGCCGGCCUGAGAGGGUGGACGGCCACAUUGGGACUGAGAUACGGCCCAGACUCCUACGGGAGGCAGCAGUGGGGAAUAUUGCACAAUGGGCGCAAGCCUGAUGCAGCGACGCCGCGUGGGGGAUGACGGCCUUCGGGUUGUAAACUCCUUUCGCUAGGGACGUAGCCUUUUGUGACGGUACCUAGAUAAGAAGCACCGGCUAACUACGUG
rnacentral:rRNA from 1 species